GGGCGUGAAUUAAAGUUCGACGGUUGGUCUUUAACAAAACGUGCAAGCCGAAACGUCUAAUUGCGUUAAAUUAGAUAAAAAAUAAGUGCAAUCUUGGCAUUAUUUACAGGUCUUGUAGCGGGAGUAAAGAAGCUUUUUGCUUCUCUAACCCCUGCAAGACCAGCAUUUGCGCUUGCGUAAUUAAGCAGGCGCCGUCUGGGUAAUUGGGCCUAAACAAUUACCUAAGGCGUGAUAAUGUUAGGCUAGCAAGCCAAAGUUCGUCUUUGCUUUGGUCUUGCGAAAACUUUUCAAAGACGGCUCUUUAAGUUAUUUUUGCCUGGUUUUAGAGACUAAAGAGCUAAAUAAACCAGGCUAAGCUUGUAGAGCGUUUUGUUAUUGCCAGCCGGACGCGGGUGCAAUUCCCGCCACGUCCACCA
rnacentral:tmRNA from 1 species